rnacentral:rRNA from 1 species
AACGAACGCUGGCGGCAUGCCUAACACAUGCAAGUCGAACGAGACCUUCGGGUCUAGUGGCGCACGGGUGCGUCACGCGUGGGAACCUUCCCGUAGGCUCGGAAUAACUCCCCGAAGGGGGUGCUAAUACCGGAUAAUGUCUUCGGACCAAAGAUUUAUCGCCUUUGGAUGGGCCCGCGUUGGAUUAGCUAGUUGGUAGGGUAAAAGCCUACCAAGGCGACGAUCCAUAGCUGGUCUGAGAGGAUGAGCAGCCACACUGGGACUGAGACACGGCCCAGACUCCUACGGGAGGCAGCAGUGGGGAAUAUUGGACAAUGGGCGAAAGCCUGAUCCAGCAAUGCCGCGUGAGUGAUGAAGGCCUUAGGGUUGUAAAGCUCUUUUAACCGGGAUGAUAAUGACAGUACCGGGAGAAUAAGCUCCGGCUAACUCCGUG